UUAUUAUGAUGAGAUUCCACUAUGGUCCGUGUUUCUGAAGCACAUGAUUUUGUGGAACUUCUGAAUCU
rnacentral:snoRNA from 1 species